rnacentral:rRNA from 1 species
UACGUAGGGUGCAAGCGUUAAUCGGAAUUACUGGGCGUAAAGCGUGCGCAGGCGGUGAUGUAAGACAGAUGUGAAAUCCCCGGGCUCAACCUGGGAACUGCAUUUGUGACUGCAUAGCUGGAGUACGGCAGAGGGGGAUGGAAUUCCGCGUGUAGCAGUGAAAUGCGUAGAUAUGCGGAGGAACACCGAUGGCGAAGGCAGUCCCCUGGGCCUGUACUGACGCUCAUGCACGAAAGCGUGGGGAGCAAACAGG